rnacentral:rRNA from 1 species
GACGAACGCUGGCGGCGUGCUUAACACAUGCAAGUCGAACGGAAAGGCCCUGCUUUUGUGGGGUGCUCGAGUGGCGAACGGGUGAGUAACACGUGAGUAACCUGCCCUUGACUUUGGGAUAACUUCAGGAAACUGGGGCUAAUACCGGAUAGGAGCUCCUGCUGCAUGGUGGGGGUUGGAAAGUUUCGGCGGUUGGGGAUGGACUCGCGGCUUAUCAGCUUGUUGGUGGGGUAGUGGCUUACCAAGGCUUUGACGGGUAGCCGGCCUGAGAGGGUGACCGGCCACAUUGGGACUGAGAUACGGCCCAGACUCCUACGGGAGGCAUCAGUGGGAAAUAUUGCACGAUGGGCGGAGGCCUUGUGCAGCAUCGCCGCGUGCGGGAUGACGGCCUUCGGGUUGUAAACCGCUUUCGCCUGUGACGAAGCGUGAGUGACGGUAAUGGGUAAAGAAGCACCGGCUAACUACGUG